GCCUACGUGUGCGCGUGCGCGCUGCCUCCCACCGGGCGGCCACCUGGGGGGGCACCCAGCGAUUGUGUGUGAGCGUCGCUGCGGGGCACCGAGCCCUCCGGGGACACCUCACCCUCUGACCUGGCUGUGCCCUGCUGGCCUCUCCCACCAACCGAGCUUGGAGUUAAGCCGCCUGCAGCUUGGCUCCUGGCUCCGCUGGGCCCGCAAGCCCCCCUCCCGCGCUCAGCGGGUAAGACGGCGGGGGACGUCCUCUCUGUGAGGACCGCCUGCCCACGCGCCUGCUGGACGCCGUGUCUCCGAUCCUUCCCUUGUCUCGGCCGUACCUGCAUAGCAGGGGACUACGCCGGGAGCGUCCAGCGUACCCUCCACGCGACUGUGGCCGCUGCAGGUGGCUUCAGUCACGCGGGAAGGGCUGGGGGCCCGGGCAGCCACCUGUGCCCACAAGAAGCGGCUUUGGAGUGGGGCUGUAAUCACAGUGGUACCUCCUCUUCCCGCGCUCCGCUCCGUGCAGCCUGGGCUCUGUGCUGUCCCCAGCUGAGACCCUGUCGGGCCAUUUCUGUGCAUCCAUCCAGCCGGGUGCUCGGCCCUGCUCUGGAUUUCAUGGGGGCCCUCAGCCGUGAACACUGUCUGUGGGGAGAAUCGUCCCACCCCUCUUCCUGGAAUCCAGUAAGCCUCUUCGCGCCUCCCUCACCAGGGCUGGUGAGACUGCACAUCACGGGGGCCUCGGAGGGUGCCCCAGCCCUUCUGUAG
rnacentral:lncRNA from 1 species